rnacentral:rRNA from 1 species
GACGAACGCUGGCGGCGCGCCUAACACAUGCAAGUCGAACGAGCGAGAGAGAGCUUGCUUUCUCGAGCGAGUGGCGAACGGGUGAGUAACGCGUGAGGAACCUGCCUCAAAGAGGGGGACAACAGUUGGAAACGACUGCUAAUACCGCAUAAGCCCACGGCUCGGCAUCGAGCAGAGGGAAAAGGAGCAAUCCGCUUUGAGAUGGCCUCGCGUCCGAUUAGCUAGUUGGUGAGGUAAUGGCCCACCAAGGCGACGAUCGGUAGCCGGACUGAGAGGUUGAACGGCCACAUUGGGACUGAGACACGGCCCAGACUCCUACGGGAGGCAGCAGUGGGGAAUAUUGCACAAUGGGGGAAACCCUGAUGCAGCGAUGCCGCGUGGAGGAAGAAGGUCUUCGGAUUGUAAACUCCUGUUGUUGAGGAAGAUAAUGACGGUACUCAACAAGAAAGUGACGGCUAACUACGUGCCAGCAGCCGCGGUAAAACGUAGGUCACAAGCGUUGUCCGGAAUUACUGGGUGUAAAGGGAGCGCAGGCGGGAAGACAAGUUGGAAGUGAAAUCCAUGGGCUCAACCCAUGAACUGCUUUCAAAACUGUUUUUCUUGAGUAGUGCAGAGGUAGGCGGAAUUCCCGGUGUAGCGGUGGAAUGCGUAGAUAUCGGGAGGAACACCAGUGGCGAAGGCGGCCUACUGGGCACCAACUGACGCUGAGGCUCGAAAGUGUGGGUAGCAAACAGGAUUAGAUACCCUGGUAGUCCACACUGUAAACGAUGAUUACUAGGUGUUGGAGGAUUGACCCCUUCAGUGCCGCAGUUAACACAAUAAGUAAUCCACCUGGGGAGUACGACCGCAAGGUUGAAACUCAAAGGAAUUGACGGGGGCCCGCACAAGCAGUGGAGUAUGUGGUUUAAUUCGACGCAACGCGAAGAACCUUACCAAGUCUUGACAUCCCUUGACGAUGCUGGAAACAGUAUUUCUCUUCGGAGCAAGGAGACAGGUGGUGCAUGGUUGUCGUCAGCUCGUGUCGUGAGAUGUUGGGUUAAGUCCCGCAACGAGCGCAACCCUUAUGGUCAGUUACUACGCAAGAGGACUCUGGCCAGACUGCCGUUGACAAAACGGAGGAAGGUGGGGAUGACGUCAAAUCAUCAUGCCCUUUAUGACUUGGGCUACACACGUACUACAAUGGCGUUAAACAAAGAGAAGCAAGACCGCGAGGUGGGGCAAAACUCAGAAACAACGUCCCAGUUCGGACUGCAGGCUGCAACUCGCCUGCACGAAGUCGGAAUUGCUAGUAAUCGCAGAUCAGCAUGCUGCGGUGAAUACGUUCCCGGGCCU